rnacentral:misc_RNA from 1 species
AUUGAUAGUGAUUCAAAAUGAGGCGAAAUUGCAUGUCUUUCCAUAAAGCGGAACAAACAAAAAAUUAAUCAACUACCAACAAAAAAAAAUUCUUAGGUGCUCAGGAAUUGUGACAAAUAAAUUAGAAAAACCUUCAAAAAAAAAAAAAGCACAAAACUUCAUCCAUGAGUGUGAACAGCUUCCCACACCAAAUUCUUUGGAACAGGCUUGGCCAUGUCUCUAGCCUGCAGGGCAGCAGUCCUCAGAGUCCUAAUUGUAGAUACAUUAGCAUCCCAGAAGGACAAACUCCUGUAAGGCAAAUUAUGCUUCUUGCAUAGAUCCCUUACCAAAGGCGAAACCCUCCUCAAUUGGCAUCUUGGCAACCUAGGAAACAAAUGAUGCUCAAGCUGAAACUGCAAACCACCGUAUAACCAAUCCAUCCAAGAGGAGCAUGAAAUAUCCAAAGUCCCACUCGUCUGUUUCUCAAACCAGUCAUUCCCACUAGGAGGUCCAAGAUAAACAUUUGCUGAGAAAUGAUUCAAACAAAAUUGAAUGUGUUGUAGUGAGGUAACAGCAAAGGAAGUGAGCACGAACAUCACUCUCUCUGGCCAAUCAGGUAAACAAGAAACAAGAAGAGGAAACCAAGUCCAAAACACAAGAAUUCCCAUGAUGUUAAGAGCUCUAUCUGGGACUUUACGCGUUGAAAACAAUAACAUAAAUGUCUGUAGAAACAAAUUGACCCUUGCAACACACAUUACAGGAUAAAAUGUCAAAUGUUGGUAACUCACAAGAAACCUGGACAAUGGAUCAAAAUUCAUCUUUCUCCCAUAAAAGUAUGAUCUUACAGAAUUGAAAAUACGCGAAGAUACCGCAAAUACUGGUAGGUGUUGAAUAUCUGGAUCAUAAUCAAGGCUAUUGCAGGCAAGAUGGUGUGCAUUGUGGGUCCAUUUCCACCAAGCAAUGCUUAUCCCAGUUAGGCAAUUCCCAGAUAUAAGCUGAGCAAGUUUGUUAAAACGAGGACUCAACAUUACCUGGUAAUGCCCAGAAUCAUGACCAACAUAUGCACUUUGAAUCCAAAGCAAUCCCAAUAAUGCAGCAGAACCCAUAUGAGCCCAUAAACUCUGGCACCACAAAACACCAUAAACAACAAUGCAGAACAAGAAUACAACACACGCCAGUGCAUACAUAGCAACAUGCCCUUUCUUGUCAAACAAUCCCAGUUUGGCAAACUCUGAGUAAAGCCUCCUAUAAUCCCUGGACACCUCUGAAACCUCGAAAUCUGCAAGAUAAUACCCUGUAAAAAGCUUAUCAAGAUAUUUCCACGCAGUGCCAGGAUGAUAAGCAAUAAAUGCAUCGGUUACAUCUUGACCAGCAAAAUUCAGGAGAGGAGUAUCCCCACCCGGGUGCUCCUUCACCCAAUCCGACACAUCGUAUACCUUGCCCUGGGCUGAGAUCCACAAGUCUCCGGGCUUGUUGUGCUGUUUAAGCUCAUGGCUAGCAAUGUAUUUCUUCUCUUCCUCCAUUGAACCAGAACUGCUAGACAUAGUGUGGGUAUUUAUUUGAUCAAAGAGCCCAACAAGCCAAAACGAGAAAUCUCCACAAUCUUUGUCUAGCUACGAACGAAGAUUUCGAUUUGAUUUGGUCUCUCCCUCUCUCUUUCAAUCUGCUUUUUUCUGUUUCACUUUUUUUCUCCAAGGUCUAAACCUAAAAGCU